AACACUGCUGCUUAUUAGUUUGACUUGGAUGGUUCCUAGCUCUAUAUGAAAAUAUUCACUGAGCCUGAAUCUCUGAGACUCUGUCUUUGCCUUCCAGGUUUUAAGAUGCUGAGUCGAGGAGUCUUAGCUCCUGGAGGAGACUAUGGAGAGCCUCUGGUUUCCAGUCCCUGCAGGGGCCAAAAGCAGCGCCCCUUUCUCCAGCCCUGGAAUCUAGACCAGCUUUGCGACUGUCCUUGACUAAGGGAGUAUGGCAGAGGUAAAUGCUUUCAGAUAUGAGCCUCCGUUCCAAGAGACCGACAGCUUCUGCCUUGCUCACUGAAGAGAAGCCAG
rnacentral:lncRNA from 1 species